GAUUAGGACACAGACACACAAAAGGAAAGACUAUGUGAGGGUAGAAGGAGAGAAGAUGACCAUCUACAAGCCAGGGGGAGAAGCCUCAUAAGAAACCAAACCUGACAACACCUUGAUGUUGGACUCCUAGCCUCCAGAACCCUUUCUCCCUUGGACUGUUACUCCUCUACAUUGAGUAAGGACUAUGCUGAAAACCUGAGGUGGGAACAGGUGCACCAGAGCAAGAGAGGAGGCCUGUUUCCCAGCUGAAUCCUGUGGGCCCCGGUGUGCACAGCGGCUCUCACUAGCUGACAGAGAGUCUUGUUUGUUCUCCCUGACUAUUAAAAUGGCAGUAAGUGUAUCAGUUCCGAGUGGUCCUCCAAAAUAAGUAGGAGUGACUCCAUUUCAUCUGAGUAGGGCUUUCAGAUGAGGUGAGGCAGGAGAGAGUACAGGCUGCUCCAGCCUUCAGUGUGGUACCUGCAACACCGAUCAAAAGAGAUUGCUAACAUGUUCAUGGCUCACUGGGACCAAACACAGGAUAUUUCACUGCUUCUUCGCUCCUUUGUAUAUGAUGGGCUUGGUAUGGGAAAGCAUAAGUAGAAUUAUAAACUCUGUAUAGAAGUGUUUUGAAUAAUAACAGUGCUCCCAUUAGUUAAGCUGAGAAAUUCAUUUUGUUGUUUCUACAAUACAUGAUGGCGUUAAAAUUUAUACUUUUACAAAUGUGACCAGCAUUUUUCCACCUGUUGACUCAGGUGAAAGAGUGGACUUCUGUCUGGUUUAGAAUUCAGGUGGUUCUUAAUCCUCAGAACAGUGAAUCCCACUUUACUAGAACAUAAGGACAUUUUAAUUCAAAGCCUCACUAAUAUGCAAAAUAAAAUGAGUAAUGACCACAAAAUGCCAAAACUGUUUUAUAAAUCAUGAGGAUUUAUCUUAUUUAAAUGCUUUUAAUGCAAAUAUUUUCUUUAUACAAAAAAACAAAUGGAAGAAGAACAUUGUCUCCCAAAAGUGUAAAAAGAACAUCUGAUGGCUAAAAAUUUCAUUUUUUUUUUUAGUGUUCCAUUUGCCUGCUCAUAAAAAGCUCUGUGAUUGCAUUGCCUAGCGACUCUAUUUACAGGCCCUGUAAGUUUGCAAUUAGCAGGUUGGAUAGCAUUGUAGACAGGUCCGUGCCAAGGUGGUAUGGAUUACCCAGAUGCAGUAUGACUUUUUAGAAAGAAUAAUAAGCCUUUAUAUAGCCAUCAAAACCAAUUUCAGACUCCAGUGUAAAUAAAAUUAAAAAAAAAAUUAAGAUGGAAAACCACAAGUCUAUUAUAAACCUUUAAAUUCCAGAAAGGAAAACCAUAGGAGAUAGGAAGACCACCCCCCCAGCCCCACCUCCACUGCCCCACCCCCCACCAACCUCCAAUGUUAAGCAUUUAAAUACUUC